GUGGGGAAUAUUGGACAAUGGGCGAAAGCCUGAUCCAGCCAUGCCGCGUGUGUGAAGAAGGUCUUCGGAUUGUAAAGCACUUUAAGUUGGGAGGAAGGGCAGUAAGUUAAUACCUUGCUGUUUUGACGUUACCGACAGAAUAAGCACCGGCUAACUUCGUGCCAGCAGCCGCGGUAAUACGAAGGGUGCAAGCGUUAAUCGGAAUUACUGGGCGUAAAGCGCGCGUAGGUGGUUUUGUAAGUUGGAGGUGAAAUCCCCGGGCUCAACCUGGGAACUGCCUCCAAAACUGCAUGACUAGAGUACGGUAGAGGGUAGUGUAAUUUCCUGUGUAGCGGUGAAAUGCGUAGAUAUAGGAAGGAACACCAGUGGCGAAGGCGACUACCUGGACUGAUACUGACACUGAGGUGCGAAAGCGUGGGGAGCAAACAGGAUUAGAAACCCCAGUAGUCC
rnacentral:rRNA from 1 species